GAUGAACGCUGGCGGCGUGCUUAACACAUGCAAGUCGAACGAAACACCUUAUUUGAUUUUCUUCGGAACUGGAGAUUUGGUGAUUGAGUGGCGGACGGGUGAGUAACGCGUGGGUAACCUACCCUGUACAGGGGGAUAACAGUCAGAAAUGACUGCUAAUACCGCAUAAGACCACAGCACCGCAUGGUGCAGGGGUAAAAACUCCGGUGGUACAGGAUGGACCCGCGUCUGAUUAGCUGGUUGGUGAGGUAACGGCUCACCAAGGCGACGAUCAGUAGCCGGCUUGAGAGAGUGAACGGCCACAUUGGGACUGAGACACGGCCCAAACUCCUACGGGAGGCAGCAGUGGGGAAUAUUGCACAAUGGGGGAAACCCUGAUGCAGCGACGCCGCGUGAGUGAAGAAGUAUCUCGGUAUGUAAAGCUCUAUCAGCAGGGAAGAAAAUGACGGU
rnacentral:rRNA from 1 species